AAGGGAGACCUAAUUCGGGUAGAAGACGAAAAAAUAGUAGUCGAAACCAAGAAUCAAUCCCAAAAGGUCGGAACGAGGUAUGUGGCUUUCAAACUAGGUUCUGGGUUCACAAAAGACCUGAAUCAGGAACAAGGGCUAUUAGCUCAGGUGGUUAGAGCGCACCCCUGAUAAGGGUGAGGUCCCUGGUUCGAGUCCAGGAUGGCCCACCUGCACAGGUGGCAAAAACAAGAGAAACGAGGAAUCAGCACCUUAUCUUAUCUAUAUAUAAGAGAGAAUGCUGGCUCUGAGUAAAGAGUCCAGAGGAACCUUGAAAACUGCAUAGAGCUAGGUGAAAAAGCCAAAAAAGAAGACCGCAA
rnacentral:tRNA from 1 species